rnacentral:ncRNA from 1 species
CUAUGACUAACAAGUCAUGGCGAAAGGAG